UACGUAGGGGGCUAGCGUUGUCCGGAAUCAUUGGGCGUAAAGAGCGUGUAGGCGGCCCGGUAAGUCCGCUGUAAAAGUCAAAGGCUUAACCUUUGAAUGUCAGUGGAUACUGCCGGGCUAGAGUCCGGAAGAGGCGAGUGGAACUCCUGGUGUAGCGGUGGAAUGCGCAGAUAUCAGGAAGAACACCAACGGCGAAGGCAGCUCGCUAGGACGGUACUGACGCUGAGACGCGAAAGCGUGGGGAGCGAACAGG
rnacentral:rRNA from 1 species